rnacentral:rRNA from 1 species
GACGAACGCUGGCGGCGUGCUUAACACAUGCAAGUCGAACGGAAAGGCCCUGCUUUUGUGGGGUGCUCGAGUGGCGAACGGGUGAGUAACACGUGAGUAACCUGCCCUUGACUUUGGGAUAACUUCAGGAAACUGGGGCUAAUACCGGAUAGGAGCUCCUGCUGCAUGGUGGGGGUUGGAAAGUUUCGGCGGUUGGGGAUGGACUCGCGGCUUAUCAGCUUGUUGGUGGGGUAGUGGCUUACCAAGGCUUUGACGGGUAGCCGGCCUGAGAGGGUGACCGGCCAUUUGGGCUGUGAGACGCGCCCGAGUCUCCUGCGGGGGCAGGAGGGGGGAAUUUUGCACAGGGGGGGGACCUCUGGUGGAGACGCCCCGUGCGGGGUAUGGCGCCUUUGGGUUUAAACCCCGUUCUCCCGUGUCACAACGUGUGUGUGAGGGAUGGGGGAAAAAAACCACCCGAAAUCUAC